CCAACAGGUAGUUAGUAUCCAUCCUGAAGCAUAGAUGUCAUGUUGUUCCACCAAGAUACACCACUUAAUAGGCAAACAUGGUGAGGCCACUUCCUGGGCUUGACCUUCUCCUAUCAAUCCGCGCAAGCAUGUUAUUCAUCACAACUGGCACAAAGAAACAAACUUCAAUUCCUUGGGGAUGAAUGGAUGGACAGACAGACAGACAGCAAUCUCGGUGAGGAAACCAUGGCUUCCUGUGUCAGAAUAGCACUAACCUGAGACCAAGGAUGAGGCUUUGAGCAAGGAGAGGACAUGGGGGACAAGGCUAAUAAACCAUUACCAUGAGACUUGAGCAACUCUCCUGGUUAUGACACAGACAAAGCUCCAGAGAUACCACCAUGACAAGAACCGCAAAAAAGCUGGGAAUCUGCUCUAAUAAGACCACUGCAAAGCAAUAGAAGAACUUAACCAGAGAGUCAGGACAGUCCAACACUCAGAUGAAUCAAACCAAAAGGACAAAACAAAGAAUCGGCUAAAAAACACCAAAACAACAAUGCAAACACAGGUCCAGUUCCUCAGUGGCUGACACCACAGCCAGCCCUGAGAAAGCUGUGAGUGAAAAUACAAA